rnacentral:rRNA from 1 species
AACGAACGCUGGCGGCAUGCCUAACACAUGCAAGUCGAACGAGACCUUCGGGUCUAGUGGCGCACGGGUGCGUAACGCGUGGGAACCUGCCCUUAGGUUCGGAAUAACUCCCCGAAAGGGGUGCUAAUACCGGAUAAUGUCUUCGGACCAAAGAUUUAUCGCCUUUGGAUGGGCCCGCGUUGGAUUAGCUAGUUGGUAGGGUAAAAGCCUACCAAGGCGACGAUCCAUAGCUGGUCUGAGAGGAUGAUCAGCCACACUGGGACUGGGACACGGCCCAGACUCCUACGGGAGGCAGCAGUGGGGAAUAUUGGACAAUGGGCGAAAGCCUGAUGCAGCAAUGCCGCGUGAGUGAUGAAGGCCUUAGGGUUGUAAAGCUCUUUUACCCGGGAUGAUAACGACAGUACCGGGAGAAUAAGCUCCGGCUAACUCCGUG